rnacentral:rRNA from 1 species
UCUUUCGGGAUCUUGAGAGCGGCGUACGGGUGCGGAACACGUGUGCAACCUGCCUUUAUCUGGGGGAUAGCCUUUCGAAAGGAAGAUUAAUACCCCAUAAUAUAUUGAAUGGCAUCAUUUGAUAUUGAAAACUCCGGUGGAUAGAGAUGGGCACGCGCAAGAUUAGAUAGUUGGUGAGGUAACGGCUCACCAAGUCAGCGAUCUUUAGGGGGCCUGAGAGGGUGAUCCCCCACACUGGUACUGAGACACGGACCAGACUCCUACGGGAGGCAGCAGUGAGGAAUAUUGGACAAUGGGUGAGAGCCUGAUCCAGCCAUCCCGCGUGAAGGACGACGGCCCUAUGGGUUGUAAACUUCUUUUGUAUAGGGAUAAACCUACCCUCGUGAGGGUAGCUGAAGGUACUAUACGAAUAAGCACCGGCUAACUCCGUGCCAGCAGCCGCGGUAAUACGGAGGGUGCAAGCGUUAUCCGGAUUUAUUGGGUUUAAAGGGUCCGUAGGCUGAUUUGUAAGUCAGUGGUGAAAUCUCACAGCUUAACUGUGAAACUGCCAUUGAUACUGCAAGUCUUGAGUGUUGUUGAAGUAGCUGGAAUAAGUAGUGUAGCGGUGAAAUGCAUAGAUAUUACUUAGAACACCAAUUGCGAAGGCAGGUUACUAAGCAACAACUGACGCUGAUGGACGAAAGCGUGGGGAGCGAACAGGAUUAGAUACCCUGGUAGUCCACGCCGUAAACGAUGCUAACUCGUUUUUGGGCUUUUGGGUUCAGAGACUAAGCGAAAGUGAUAAGUUAGCCACCUGGGGAGUACGAACGCAAGUUUGAAACUCAAAGGAAUUGACGGGGGCCCGCACAAGCGGUGGAUUAUGUGGUUUAAUUCGAUGAUACGCGAGGAACCUUACCAAGGCUUAAAUGGGAAAUGACAGGCUUAGAAAUAGGCUUUUCUUCGGACAUUUUUCAAGGUGCUGCAUGGUUGUCGUCAGCUCGUGCCGUGAGGUGUUAGGUUAAGUCCUGCAACGAGCGCAACCCCUGUCACUAGUUGCCAUCAUUAAGUUGGGGACUCUAGUGAGACUGCCUACGCAAGUAGAGAGGAAGGUGGGGAUGACGUCAAAUCAUCACGGCCCUUACGCCUUGGGCCACACACGUAAUACAAUGGCCGGUACAGAGGGCAGCUACACUGCGAAGUGAUGCAAAUCUCGAAAGCCGGUCUCAGUUCGGAUUGGAGUCUGCAACUCGACUCUAUGAAGCUGGAAUCGCUAGUAAUCGCGCAUCAGCCAUGGCGCGGUGAAUACGUUCCCGGGCCUUGUACACACCGCCCGUCAAGCCAUGGAAGUCUGGGGUAC